CGUUCUAUGGCCGAAUUGGUGAAGGCAUCGCCGAUCACAGGCGAGAGGUUGCGGGUUCGAGUCACGCUGGAACUA
rnacentral:tRNA from 1 species